GUACGUGCAAGCAGUGGGAGCACAGGUUUACCUGUGUGACUGCGUACCUUUUGUAUAAUGGGUCAGCGACUUAUAUUCUGUAGCAAGGUUAACCGUAUAGGGGAGCCGCAGGGAAACCGAGUCUUAACCGGGCGUUAAGUUGCAGGGUAUAGACCCGAAACCCGGUGAUCUAGCCAUGGGCAGGUUGAAGGUUGGGUAACACUAACUGGAGGACCGAACCGACUAAUGUUGAAAAAUUAGCGGAUGACCUGUGGCU
rnacentral:rRNA from 1 species